AGAGUUUGAUCCUGGCUCAGGACGAACGCUGGCGGCGCGCCUAACACAUGCAAGUCGAACGAGAGAGAAGGAGCUUGCUUCUUCGAUCGAGUGGCGAACGGGUGAGUAACGCGUGAGGAACCUGCCUCAAAGAGGGGGACAACAGUUGGAAACGACUGCUAAUACCGCAUAAGCCCACGGGUCGGCAUCGACCUGAGGGAAAAGGAGUGAUCCGCUUUGAGAUGGCCUCGCGUCCGAUUAGCUAGUUGGUGAGGUAAUGGCCCACCAAGGCAACGAUCGGUAGCCGGACUGAGAGGUUGAACGGCCACAUUGGGACUGAGACACGGCCCAGACUCCUACGGGAGGCAGCAGUGGGGAAUAUUGCACAAUGGGGGAAACCCUGAUGCAGCGACGCCGCGUGGAGGAAGAAGGUCUUCGGAUUGUAAACUCCUGUUGUUGAGGAAGAUAAUGACGGUACUCAACAAGGAAGUGACGGCUAACUACGUGCCAGCAGCCGCGGUAAAACGUAGGUCACAAGCGUUGUCCGGAAUUACUGGGUGUAAAGGGAGCGCAGGCGGGAAGACAAGUUGGAAGUGAAAUCUAUGGGCUCAACCCAUAAACUGCUUUCAAAACUGUUUUUCUUGAGUAGUGCAGAGGUAGGCGGAAUUCCCGGUGUAGCGGUGGAAUGCGUAGAUAUCGGGGAGGAACACCCAGUGGCGAAGGCGGCCUACUGGGCACCAACUGACGCUGAGGCUCGAAAGUGUGGGUAGCAAACAGGAUUAGAUACCCUGGUAGUCCACACCGUAAACGAUGAUUACUAGGUGUUGGAGGAUUGACCCCUUCAGUGCCGCAGUUAACACAAUAAGUAAUCCACCUGGGGAGUACGACCGCAAGGUUGAAACUCAAAGGAAUUGACGGGGGCCCGCACAAGCAGUGGAGUAUGUGGUUUAAUUCGACGCAACGCGAAGAACCUUACCAAGUCUUGACAUCCCUUGACGAACAUAGAAAUAUGUUUUCUCUUCGGAGCAAGGAGACAGGUGGUGCAUGGUUGUCGUCAGCUCGUGUCGUGAGAUGUUGGGUUAAGUCCCGCAGCGAGCGCAACCCUUAUGGUCAGUUACUACGCAAGAGGACUCUGGCCAGACUGCCGUUGACAAAACGGAGGAAGGUGGGGAUGACGUCAAAUCAUCAUGCCCUUUAUGACUUGGGCUACACACGUACUACAAUGGCGUUAAACAAAGAGAAGCAAGACCGCGAGGUGGAGCAAAACUCAGAAACAACGUCCCAGUUCGGACUGCAGGCUGCAACUCGCCUGCACGAAGUCGGAAUUGCUAGUAAUCGUGGAUCAGCAUGCCACGGUGAAUACGUUCCCGGGCCUUGCACUCACCGCCCGUCA
rnacentral:rRNA from 1 species